AUCGAACGCUGGCGGCAGACCUAACACAUGCAAGUCGAGCGAGCGGCGGACGGGUGAGUAAUGUAUGGGGACUGCCCGAUAGAGUGGGAUAACUACUGGAAACGGUGGAUAAUACCGUAUAUUGUCGGAUAACCUAUAUGGGUUUAGCUAGUAGGUAAGGUAAUGGCUUACCUAGGCGACGAUCCCUAGCUGGUCUGCGAGUAUGAUCAGCCACACUGGGAGUGCGACACGGCCCAGACUCCAACGGAGGCAGCAGUUGGGAAUAGUGCACAAUGGGCGAAAGCCUGAUGCAGCCAUGCCGCGUGUAUGAAGAAGGCCCUAGGGUUGUAAAGUACUUGCAGUCGGGAGGCGUUACCGACAGAAGAAGCACCGGCUAACUCCGUGCCAGCAGCCGCGGUAAUUC
rnacentral:rRNA from 1 species